GACGAACGCUGGCGGCGUGCUUAACACAUGCAAGUCGAACGGAAAGGCCCUGCUUUUGUGGGGUGCUCGAGUGGCGAACGGGUGAGUAACACGUGAGUAACCUGCCCUUGACUUUGGGAUAACUUCAGGAAACUGGGGCUAAUACCGGAUAGGAGCUCCUGCUGCAUGGUGGGGGUUGGAAAGUUUCGGCGGUUGGGGAUGGACUCGCGGCUUAUCAGCUUGUUGGUGGGGUAGUGGCUUACCAAGGCUUUGACGGGUAGCCGGCCUGAGAGGGUGACCGGCCACAUUGGGACUGAGAUACGGCCCAGACUCCUACGGGAGGCAGCAGUGGGGAAUAUUGCACAAUGGGCGGAAGCCUGAUGCAGCAACGCCGCGUGCGGGAUGACGGCCUUCGGGUUGUAAACCGCUUUCGCCUGUGACGAAGCGUGAGUGACGGUAAUGGGUAAAGAAGCACCGGCUAACUACGUGCCAGCAGCCGCGGUGAUACGUAGGGUGCGAGCGUUGUCCGGAUUUAUUGGGCGUAAAGGGCUCGUAGGUGGUUGAUCGCGUCGGAAGUGUAAUCUUGGGGCUUAACCCUGAGCGUGCUUUCGAUACGGGUUGACUUGAGGAAGGUAGGGGAGAAUGGAAUUCCUGGUGGAGCGGUGGAAUGCGCAGAUAUCAGGAGGAACACCAGUGGCGAAGGCGGUUCUCUGGGCCUUUCCUGACGCUGAGGAGCGAAAGCGUGGGGAGCGAACAGGCUUAGAUACCCUGGUAGUCCACGCUGUAAACGGUGGGUACUAGGUGUGGGGUCCAUUCCACGGGUUCCGUGCCGUAGCUAACGCUUUAAGUACCCCGCCUGGGGAGUACGGCCGCAAGGCUAAAACUCAAAGGAAUUGACGGGGCCCCGCACAAGCGGCGGAGCAUGCGGAUUAAUUCGAUGCAACGCGUAGAACCUUACCUGGGUUUGACAUGGAUCGGGAGUGCUCAGAGAUGGGUGUGCCUCUUUUGGGGUCGGUUCACAGGUGGUGCAUGGCUGUCGUCAGCUCGUGUCGUGAGAUGUUGGGUUAAGUCCCGCAACGAGCGCAACCCUUGUUCACUGUUGCCAGCACGUUAUGGUGGGGACUCAGUGGAGACCGCCGGGGUCAACUCGGAGGAAGGUGGGGAUGACGUCAAGUCAUCAUGCCCCUUAUGUCCAGGGCUUCACGCAUGCUACAAUGGCUGGUACAGAGAGUGGCGAGCCUGUGAGGGUGAGCGAAUCUCGGAAAGCCGGUCUCAGUUCGGAUUGGGGUCUGCAACUCGACCUCAUGAAGUCGGAGUCGCUAGUAAUCGCAGAUCAGCAACGCUGCGGUGAAUACGUUUCCCGGGCU
rnacentral:rRNA from 1 species